AUCCCUACGGGAGGCAGCAGUGGGGGAUAUUGCACAAUGGGGGAAACCCUGAUGCAGCGACGCCGCGUGAGGGAAGACGGUUUUCGGAUUGUAAACCUCUGUCUUUGGGGACGAAUCGAGACGGUACCCAAGGAGGAAGCUCCGGCUAACUACGUGCCAGCAGCCGCGGUAAUACGUAGGGAGCAAGCGUUGUCCGGAAUUACUGGGUGUAAAGGGAGCGUAGGCGGGAUAGUAAGUUGAUUGUUAAAACUAUCGGCUCAACUGAUAGAUGCUAUCAAACCUGCAAUUCUUGA
rnacentral:rRNA from 1 species